AGAGUUUGAUCCUGGCUCAGGACGAACGCUGGCGGCGCGCCUAACACAUGCAAGUCGAACGGAGCUUAGAGAGCUUGCUUUUUAAGCUUAGUGGCGAACGGGUGAGUAACGCGUGAGUAACCUGCCCUAGAGUGGGGGACAACAGUUGGAAACGACUGCUAAUACCGCAUAAGCCCACGGUACCGCAUGGUACUGAGGGAAAAGGAUUUAUUCGCUUUAGGAUGGACUCGCGUCCAAUUAGCUAGUUGGUGAGGUAACGGCCCACCAAGGCGACGAUUGGUAGCCGGACUGAGAGGUUGAACGGCCACAUUGGGACUGAGACACGGCCCAGACUCCUACGGGAGGCAGCAGUGGGGGAUAUUGCACAAUGGGGGAAACCCUGAUGCAGCGACGCCGCGUGGAGGAAGAAGGUCUUCGGAUUGUAAACUCCUGUUGUUGAGGAAGAUAAUGACGGUACUCAACAAGGAAGUGACGGCUAACUACGUGCCAGCAGCCGCGGUAAAACGUAGGUCACAAGCGUUGUCCGGAAUUACUGGGUGUAAAGGGAGCGCAGGCGGGAAGACAAGUUGGAAGUGAAAUCUAUGGGCUCAACCCAUAAACUGCUUUCAAAACUGUUUUUCUUGAGUAGUGCAGAGGUAGGCGGAAUUCCCGGUGUAGCGGUGGAAUGCGUAGAUAUCGGGAGGAACACCAGUGGCGAAGGCGGCCUACUGGGCACCAACUGACGCUGAGGCUCGAAAGUGUGGGUAGCAAACAGGAUUAGAUACCCUGGUAGUCCACACCGUAAACGAUGAUUACUAGGUGUUGGAGGAUUGACCCCUUCAGUGCCGCAGUUAACACAAUAAGUAAUCCACCUGGGGAGUACGACCGCAAGGUUGAAACUCAAAGGAAUUGACGGGGGCCCGCACAAGCAGUGGAGUAU
rnacentral:rRNA from 1 species